rnacentral:rRNA from 1 species
AACGAACGCUGGCGGCAUGCCUAACACAUGCAAGUCGAACGAGAUCUUCGGGUCUAGUGGCGCACGGGUGCGUAACGCGUGGGAAUCUGCCCUUUGGUUCGGAAUAACAGUUGGAAACGACUGCUAAUACCGGAUGAUGACGAAAGUCCAAAGAUUUAUCGCCAGAGGAUGAGCCCGCGUAGGGAUAGCUAGUUGGUGUGGUAAAGGCGCACCAAGGCGACGAUCCUUAGCUGGUCUGAGAGGAUGAUCAGCCACACUGGGACUGAGACACGGCCCAGACUCAUACGGGAGGCAGCAGUGGGGAAUAUUGGACAAUGGGCGAAAGCCUGAUCCAGCAAUGCCGCGUGAGUGAUGAAGGCCUUAGGGUUGUAAAGCUCUUUUACCCGGGAUGAUAAUGACAGUACCGGGAGAAUAAGCUCCGGCUAACUCCGUGCCAGCCGCCGCCGUAA